AGGGAAUCUUCCGCAAUGGGCGAAAGCCUGACGGAGCAACGCCGCGUGAGUGAUGAAGGUUUUCGGAUCGUAAAGCUCUGUUGCCAGGGAAGAACGUCCGAUAGAGUAACUGCUAUCGGAGUGACGGUACCUGAGAAGAAAGCCCCGGCUAACUACGUGCCAGCAGCCGCGGUAAUACGUAGGGGGCAAGCGUUGUCCGGAAUUAUUGGGCGUAAAGCGCGCGCAGGCGGUCAUUUAAGUCUGGUGUUUAAGGCCAAGGCUCAACCUUGGUUCGCACUGGAAACUGGGUGACUUGAGUGCAGAAGAGGAGAGUGGAAUUCCACGUGUAGCGGUGAAAUGCGUAGAUAUGUGGAGGAACACCAGUGGCGAAGGCGACUCUCUGGGCUGUAACUGACGCUGAGGCGCGAAAGCGUGGGGAGCAAAC
rnacentral:rRNA from 1 species